UGGGGAAUCUUCCGCAAUGGACGAAAGUCUGACGGAGCAACGCCGCGUGAGUGAAGAAGGUUUUCGGAUCGUAAAACUCUGUCUUUUGGGGCGAACGUGAGUAUGGUGAACAAUCAUAGUCAGUGACGGUACCAAAGGAGGAAGCCACGGCUAACUACGUGCCAGCAGCCGCGGUAAUACGUAGGUGGCAAGCGUUGUCCGGAAUUAUUGGGCGUAAAGAGCGCGUAGGCGGGAUAGUCAGUCUGUUGUAAAAGUGCGGGGCUCAACCCCGUGAUGGCAAUGGAACAGCUAUUCUUGAGUGCAGGAGAGGAAAGUGGAAUUCCCAGUGUAGCGGUGAAAUGCGUAGAUAUUGGGAGGAACACCAGUGGCGAAGGCGACUUUCUGGACUGUGUCUGACGCUGAGGCGCGAAAGCCAGAGGGAGCGAACGGGGAUUUAGAUACCCCCGGUAGUCCUGGCCGUAAACGAUGGGUACUAGGUGUGGGAGGUAUCGACCCCUUCCGUGCCGGAGUUAACGCAAUAAGUACCCCGCCUGGGGAGUACGGUCGCAAGACUGAAACUUAAUGAAUUGACGGGGUCAUAGCUGUUUCCU
rnacentral:rRNA from 1 species